AGCGAACGCUGGCGGCAGGCUUAACACAUGCAAGUCGAGCGGGCAUCCUUGUGGUGUCAGCGGCAGACGGGUGAGUAACGCGUGGGAACGUGCCCUUCGGUUCGGAAUAACUCAGGGAAACUUGAGCUAAUACCGGAUACGUGCGAGAGCAGAAAGGUUUAUCUGCCGAAGGAUCGGCCCGCGUCUGAUUAGCUAGUUGGUGAGGUUAUGGCUCACCAAGGCGACGAUCAGUAGCUGGUCUGAGAGGAUGAUCAGCCACACUGGGACUGAGACACGGCCCAGACCCCUACGGGAGGCAGCAGUGGGGAAUAUUGGACAAUGGGGGCAACCCUGAUCCAGCCAUGCCGCGUGAGUGAUGACGGCCUUAGGGUUGUAAAGCUCUUUUCUCCGGGACGAUAAUGACGGUACCGGAGGAAUAAGCCCCGGCUAACUUCGUG
rnacentral:rRNA from 1 species